rnacentral:lncRNA from 12 species
AGGAAGCUGAUCAAGGAUGUAACAGUUACAGAAGAUCUUCAGCUCUCCACAGCUUGCUGUCAUGAGGGGACAGCAAACCGCAACUGGUUCUUACAUGGGGCUCCUCAUGUGCGGACUGCUCCUAUCAUCUUCAGAGCAAAUCUCGGGAUACCACAACCUAGUUGGGGACUCAAAGCUACUUUCCCUUCUGUGAAGAAUUCCAAGGAAUUUGGCUUAAAGUAUCAAGUUUCAGUAGACAAAAGGAUGGGCAAGGCCACAUUUGGGUUUCUUUGAAGGAUUGCAAGGAGUAAGUUAUUGACUUCAUUGCCAUUUAUGAUGGUUUAGAAACAAACAAGGAAAUGCACUUUUACAAACAUCAAACAGCUGCUCCAAAAAUACAAGCUGAAAAGAUGCUAUCAUGACAUAUUUCAGCCACAACAAACAAUAGUUUAUGAGAAGCCACAGUAGAUUUGAGAGACAAGGCAGCAUUCUUGAGCUUUUAAUGUCAGUUGAUAAUCAGGAGGAUCACAAUAACAUGCAGCUGUAGGGAUGGUGGGUAAGUCACAGCCCCACAGCAUCUGGCAAAGCCAGUGCUGUUAGCCAGCAAGCCACCAAUUGUCCCCUUGACCUCACACACUACCAACCUCACGAAACCCCACUCUUCCAUCAACGUGAGAUCUCAAAGCCUGAGAAACGUCACCCCCUGUUACAGAUGGCCCUGUCUGUCCACCUAUAGCUUAGCCAUUAGCCAUCUCACUGUUCCCUUGGGGGCACCUAAAAUAUGAUCCCCAAACUUUGCUCCA